rnacentral:rRNA from 1 species
AGAGUUUGAUCCUGGCUCAGGACGAACGCUGGCGGCGUGCUUAACACAUGCAAGUCGAACGAGGUUAGAGACUUCGGUUUUUGACCGAGUGGCGGACGGGUGAGUAACGCGUGAGCAAUCUGUCCCAGACAGGGGGAUAACAACUGGAAACAGUUGCUAAUACCGCAUAAGACCACGAAGUCGCAUGGCUUUGAGGUAAAAGGAGUAAUCCGGUCUGGGGUGAGUUCGCGUCUGAUUAGAUAGUUGGCGAGGUAACGGCUCACCAAGUCGACGAUCAGUAGCCGACCUGAGAGGGUGACCGGCCACAUUGGGACUGAGACACGGCCCAGACUCCUACGGGAGGCAGCAGUGGGGAAUAUUGGGCAAUGGGGAAACCCUGACCCAGCAACGCCGCGUGAGGGAAGAAGGUUUUCGGAUUGUAAACCUCUGUCCUUGGGGACGAACAAAUGACGGUACCCGAGGAGGAAGCCCCGGCUAACUACGUGCC